rnacentral:rRNA from 1 species
GACGUAGGGCGCGAGCGUUGUCCGGAUUUAUUGGGCGUAAAGAGCUCGUAGGCGGCUUGUCGCGUCGACUGUGAAAUCCCGCGGCUCAACUGCGGGUCUGCAGUCGAUACGGGCAGGCUAGAGUUCGGUAGGGGAGACUGGAAUUCCUGGUGUAGCGGUGAAAUGCGCAGAUAUCAGGAAGAACACCCGUGGCGAAGGCGGCUCUCUGGUACGUGACUGACGCUGAGACGCGAAAGCCGUGGGGAGCAAACAGG